rnacentral:rRNA from 1 species
GACGAACGCUGGCGGCGUGCUUAACACAUGCAAGUCGAACGAAGAGCGAUGGAAGCUUGCUUCUAUCAAUCUUAGUGGCGAACGGGUGGGUAACGCGUAAUCAACCUGCCCUUCAGAGGGGGACAACAGUUGAAAACGACUGCUAAUACCGCAUACGAUCUAAUCUCGGCAUCGAGGAUAGAUGAAAGGUGGCCUCUACAUGUAAGCUAUCACUGAAGGAGGGGAUUGCGUCUGAUUAGCUAGUUGGAGGGGUAACGGCCCACCAAGGCGAUGAUCAGUAGCCGGUCUGAGAGGAUGAACGGCCACAGUGGGACUGAGACACGGCCCAGACUCCUACGGGAGGCAGCAGUGGGGAAUCUUCCGCAAUAGACGAAAGUCUGACGGAGCAACGCCGCGUGAGCGAUGACGGCCUUCGGGUUGUAAAGCUCUGUUAAUCGGGACGAAAGGCCUUCUUGCGAAUAGUGAGAAGGAUUGACGGUACCGGAAUAGAAAGCCACGGCUAACUACGUG